UGGCUUGAUCCUGGCAUGAAACUUCAACUUGUGCUUUUGAAGCUGAGAAUACCCACCUGCUUCAGAAAUGCUUAGUCGUCAGAAUAACCCCGAACUGACUUACCCUCCUGGAUCUGGAGAUGGACGGUUUACCCAGGUUUGGACUUGCCUGGCCAUCGUGAUUGCUCUGGGGUUAGACAAACAAAGCAAAGGUCACUGGGCCAACGGGAUGUGGGUCUGUCAUGUGCAGCAGCUACCUUGCCAACACUGGAGG